rnacentral:rRNA from 1 species
GUACCUACGGGGCGCAGCAGUGAGGGAUAUUGGUCAAUGGGGGAAACCCUGAACCAGCAACGCCGCGUGAGGGAAGACGGUUUUCGGAUUGUAAACCUCUGUCCUCUGUGAAGAUAAUGACGGUAGCAGAGGAGGAAGCUCCGGCUAACUACGUGCCAGCAGCCGCGGUAAUACGUAGGGAGCGAGCGUUGUCCGGAUUUACUGGGUGUAAAGGGUGCGUAGGCGGGGAAGCUAGUCAGAAGGGAAAUCCAUGGGCUUAACCCAUGAACCGCUUUUGAAACUGUUUAUCUUGA